GGGAAUUCCUUGAAAGAGGGAAGUGCCUCGCAAGAGGAGCCUGGAGACAGGUGCUGCAUGGCUGUCGUCAGCUCGUGUCGUGAGAUGUUGGGUUAAGUCCCGCAACGAGCGCAACCCUUGUCUUAGUUGCCAUCAUUCAGUUGGGCACUCUAAAGAGACUGCCGGUGUCAAACCGGAGGAAGGUGGGGAUGACGUCAAGUCCUCAUGGCCUUUAUGACCAGGGCUACACACGUACUACAAUGGCCGGUACAAAGGGCAGCCACUUAGCGAUAAGGAGCCAAUCCCGUAAAGCCGGUCUCAGUCCGGAUUGGAGUCUGCAACUCGACUCCAUGAAGUUGGAAUCGCUAGUAAUCGCAGAUCAGCACGCUGCGGUGAAUACGUUCCCGGGCCUU
rnacentral:rRNA from 1 species